ACUCUUCCCCUCCCCCAGAUUGAUUUGAUCCACCUGGGAGCCAAGUUCUCCCCCUGCAUCCGGAGGGACCAGCAGAUCAAGCAGCUGGUGCUUCGGGAGCGAGACCUGGAGCGGGACUCGGGCUGCUGUGUCCAGAAUGACCACUCGGGCUGCAUCCAGACCCAGCGGAAGGACUGCUCGGAGACUUUGGCCACUUUUGUCAAGUGGCAGGAUGAUACGGGGCCCCCCAUGGACAAGUCUGAUCUGGGCCAGAAGCGGACGUCAGGGGCAGUGUGUCACCAAGACCCCAGAACCUGUGAGGAGCCGGCCUCCAGCGGUGCCCACAUCUGGCCCGAUGACAUCACUAAGUGGCCAAUCUGCACCGAGCAGGCCAAGAGUAACCGCACCGGCUUCCUGCACAUGGACUGCCAGAUCAAGGGCCGCCCCUGCUGCAUUGGCACCAAGGGCAGGUAAGCCAGCCCCGGCGCUCUGCCUGAGCUCCCCGCCAGAGCUGCCCGUGCUGCUGUUGCCACCUGCCACCCGGGCUAGUGUCCUCCCUCCCCCGCGCUGGGGUCGCCCAUGGUGUGAGCAGGAGGAAGGGGAGCCUGCCCCGGAGCUGGGGUCCCCGCAGAGGGGCACCCCUUCCUGCCAGCGGGCAGGGGUCCUCGGGGCUGUGACGUAUCCCUUUGCCUCCCUGUCCCCCUAG
rnacentral:lncRNA from 1 species